rnacentral:rRNA from 1 species
AUUGAACGCUGGCGGCAUGCUUUACACAUGCAAGUCGGACGGCAGCGGGGUAGUGCUUGCACUACUGCCGGCGAGUGGCGAACGGGUGAGUAAUAUAUUGGAACGUACCGAGUAAUGGGGGAUAACCAAUCGAAAGAUUGGCUAAUACCGCAUACGCUCUGAGGAGGAAAGCAGGGGACCUUCGGGCCUUGCGUUAUUCGAGCGGCCAAUAUCUGAUUAGCUAGUUGGCGGGGUAAGGGCCUACCAAGGCGACGAUCAGUAGCGGGUCUGAGGGGAUGAUCCGCCACACUGGGACUGAGACACGGCCCAGACUCCUACGGGAGGCAGCAGUGGGGAAUUUUGGACAAUGGGCGCAAGCCUGAUCCAGCCAUGCCGCGUGUCUGAAGAAGGCCUUCGGGUUGUAAAGGACUUUUGUUAGGGAAGAAAAAGGAGCGGUUAAUACCCGUUUCUGCUGACGGUACCUAAAGAAUAAGCACCGGCUAACUACGUG